rnacentral:rRNA from 1 species
CCCUUAGAUGUUCUGGGCCGCACGCGCGCUACACUGAUGCAUUCAACGAGUAAUCUUUGACCUUGGUCGACAGAUCUGGGUAAUCUUUUGAAAUUGCAUCGUGAUGGGGCUUGCGGGUUGCAAUUACCCGCACCAACGAGGAAUUCCUAGUAAACGCAAGUCAUCAACUUGCAUUGAUUACGUCCCUGCCCUUUGUACACACCGCCCGUCGCUCCUACCGAUUGAAUGUUCCGAUGAAUACCAUGGACUGAGAGUAUGAAUGGGUUCGCCUAUUUCUGCUUCUCGGGAAGUGGAGUAAAUCUUAACAUUUAGAGGAAGGAGAAGUCGUAACA